rnacentral:tmRNA from 1 species
GGGAGCGUAAUGGUUUCGACGGGGAUUGUGAACGUCGGCAAGCGAGCGGUGGCUUUGCGGAACCACCUUACAAUCCGCAAACUUUCAAAACAAACGACAACACUCAACCUGUUGCCCUUGCCGCUUAAUUAGGCAAGUGUCUGCAUCUGAAGGACCACGAGCGGGUGCAGGCAUCGACUGAGUGGUGAACGUGAACGCAGGAGCGGUUCGGCCUGCGGCACGGCUUUGAACCUACCGAAACGGACAGCCUGACUGCUGGCGGUUCGCCGGGGGAAUCUUUCGUAAACAGUCUGCGCUCGGAGAAAACCGACCGGAUCGUUCUUCGGACAGGAGUUCGAUUCUCCUCGCUUCCACU